AGAGAGAGAGAGAGAGAGAGAGAGAGAGAGAGAGAGAGACGUGGAUUGGUAUUUAAGCUGUUCAUACCAAAUUGAACGCCUCUGUAGCUGGAGAGAGGAAGAUUAAAUAAUUAGAGAGAGAGAGAGAGAGAGAGAGAGAGGAAGAAUUUUAGGAGGAAAGAAAAGACAAUGGCGGACUCCAGCGAUUCCGUCUCCAUCGAUAUGGAGUCUAUUCCGUUUGCCGGCAAGGAGCAUAUAAUCAAGACAGGUCAUGGUUCUGUUUCCGUUGCUGUAUUUGGAGAACAGGACAAGCCAGCUCUUAUUACUUAUCCCGAUUUGGCUUUAAACUUUGACAUGUGACUUCUUUGUCUGCAUGCAACUAAACAGAUAUGUCCUGUUUCCAAGGGCUUUUCUUUUGUCCAGAAGCAUUUUCUCUCCUUCUCCAUAACUUCUGUAUCUACCACAUCAGCCCCCCAGGUCAUGAGUUUCACUCAUUUCUACUGCAGCUUUUUGAGGGCCCCACUAUCUCUCUCUCUCUUUGAAUAAAUGCAAAUGGCAAUGAUGGUUAGAAACAAGAAAUGUGAGUGGUGAGUGAUGAAUGAAAUGGGCAUUUUGUUGAAGGGAGAAGAAAAGGUGUGGUAUUAGGUAACUAGUUUGAGAUGAAUUGUGAAAUGUGAUGGGAAAGAAAAAAACACACUUUUGGAGGGUGAAACGAACAAGUAAAGGGUUAAGGAAAGUGAACAGAGGGGAAAGUCUGAUGCCACUGUUGCACUUAACAGCAGCAGUUGUGAAGAUGAAGAAAGAUGAGAGAGAAAGGCAGUGUGCAAUGAUGACGCAAGCAAUAUUGGGAAAAUCUUUGACGGAUUUCUAUGCCUACAUGCACCUUAAAUUAUGGUGGGUCGAUAACUCGAUAGGGUACUAGUAGUAUACAUCGAAUUUCGGUAUUCCGUCAUAUAGUAGAAAAUUUGAAAAUUCUUCCUUGUCGUAUUCUUUCGGUAAGAUAUCGUACUAUAUCAGAAGUUCAAUAUUUUUGAUAUAUUCCAAAUACGAUAAGGCCGGUACGGUAUUUCAUUAUUUUUUCCCACCUCUAGCUUCAGUGACUACUAUGAUAAAAUGAAAAUGGGGUUUAUUGUUAAAAGUUAAAAGACAAAAAAUAGAGUAUAUAUUAAAAUUUUAUUUUA